rnacentral:rRNA from 1 species
AGGUAAGCUACUAAGAGCGAAUGGUGGAUGCCUUGACUGGUAAAGGCGAUGAAGGACGUACUAGACUGCGAUAAGCUACGGGGAGCUGUCAAGAAGCUUUGAUCCGUAGAUUUCCGAAUGGGGCAACCCAAUGUAUAGAGAUAUACAUUACCUAUAUAGGAGCGAACGAGGGGAAUUGAAACAUCUUAGUACCCUCAGGAAAAGAAAUCAAUAGAGAUUGCGUCAGUAGCGGCGAGCGAAAGCGCAAGAGGGCAAACCCAGUGCUUGCACUGGGGGUUGUAGGACUGCAAUGUGCAAGAGGUAAGUUUAGCAGAACAUUCUGGAAAGUAUAACCAUAGAGGGUGAUAGUCCCGUAUGCGAAAAACAAACCUUAGCUAGCAGUAUCCUGAGUAGGGCGGGACACGAGGAAUCCUGUCUGAAUCCGGGUCGACCACGAUCCAACCCUAAAUACUAAUACCAGAUCGAUAGUGCACAAGUACCGUGAGGGAAAGGUGAAAAGAACUGAGGUGAUCAGAGUGAAAUAGAACCUGAAACCAUUUGCUUACAAUCAUUCAGAGCCCUAUGUAGCAAUACAGGGUGAUGGACUGCCUUUUGCAUAAUGAGCCUGCGAGUUGUGGUGUCUGGCAAGGUUAAGCAAACGCGAAGCCGUAGCGAAAGCGAGUCUGAAUAGGGCGCUUAGUCAGAUGCUGCAGACCCGAAACGAAGUGAUCUAUCCAUGAGCAAGUUGAAGCUAGUGUAAGAACUAGUGGAGGACUGAACCCAUAGGCGUUGAAAAGCCCCGGGAUGACUUGUGGAUAGGGGUGAAAGGCCAAUCAAACUUCGUGAUAGCUGGUUCUCUCCGAAAUAUAUUUAGGUAUAGCGUUGUGUCGUAAUAUAAGGGGGUAGAGCACUGAAUGGGCUAGGGCAUACACCAAUGUACCAAACCCUAUCAAACUCCGAAUACCUUAUAUGUAAUCACAGCAGUCAGGCGGCGAGUGAUAAAAUCCGUCGUCAAGAGGGAAACAACCCAGACUACCAGCUAAGGUCCCUAAAUCUUACUUAAGUGGAAAACGAUGUGAAGUUACUUAAACAACCAGGAGGUUGGCUUAGAAGCAGCCAUCCUUUAAAGAAAGCGUAAUAGCUCACUGGUCUAGUGAUUUUGCGCGGAAAAUAUAACGGGGCUAAAGUAAGUACCGAAGCUGUAGACUUGCACACAACUUAGAUUAUUUAAGUUUAGAAUAUGAGAAACUAAGUUAUAUGUUUAGUUAUAUUUUUACUGAUUUUUAUAGAGUAAAGAUAGAAAUAAAACUUAGUAAAAUCAGUAAAAAUAUUCUUAGGCUAAAGUUAAGUAGUUUAAGUUGUGUGCAAGUGGUAGGAGAGCGUUCUAUUUGCGUCGAAGGUAUACCGGUAAGGAGUGCUGGAGCGAAUAGAAGUGAGCAUGCAGGCAUGAGUAGCGAUAAUUAAUGUGAGAAUCAUUAACGCCGUAAACCCAAGGUUUCCUACGCGAUGCUCGUCAUCGUAGGGUUAGUCGGGUCCUAAGUCGAGUCCGAAAGGGGUAGACGAUGGCAAAUUGGUUAAUAUUCCAAUACCAACAUUAGUGUGCGAUGGAAGGACGCUUAGGGCUAAGGGGGCUAGCGGAUGGAAGUGCUAGUCUAAGGUCGUAGGAGGUUAUACAGGCAAAUCCGUAUAACAAUACUCCGAGAACUGAAAGGCUUUUUGAAGUCUUCGGAUGGAUAGAAGAACCCCUGAUGCCGUCGAGCCAAGAAAAGUUUCUAAGUUUAGCUAAUGUUGCCCGUACCGUAAACCGACACAGGUGGGUGGGAUGAGUAUUCUAAGGCGCGUGGAAGAACUCUCUUUAAGGAACUCUGCAAAAUAGCACCGUAUCUUCGGUAUAAGGUGUGGUUAGCUUCGUACUAGGAUUUACUCCGAAAGCGAAGAAACUUACAACAAAGAGUCCCUCCCGACUGUUUACCAAAAACACAGCACUCUGCUAACUCGUAAGAGGAUGUAUAGGGUGUGACGCCUGCCCGGUGCUCGAAGGUUAAUUGAUGGGGUUAGCAUUAGCGAAGCUCUUGAUCGAAGCCCGAGUAAACGGCGGCCGUAACUAUAACGGUCCUAAGGUAGCGAAAUUCCUUGUCGGUUAAAUACCGACCUGCAUGAAUGGCGUAACGAGAUGGGAGCUGUCUCAAAGAGGGAUCCAGUGAAAUUGUAGUGGAGGUGAAAAUUCCUCCUACCCGCGGCAAGACGGAAAGACCCCGUGGACCUUUACUACAGCUUGACACUGCUACUUGGAUAAGAAUGUGCAGGAUAGGUGGGAGGCUUUGAGUAUAUGACGCCAGUUGUAUAUGAGCCAUUGUUGAGAUACCACUCUUUCUUAUUUGGGUAGCUAACCAGCUUGAGUUAUCCUCAAGUGGGACAAUGUCUGGUGGGUAGUUUGACUGGGGCGGUCGCCUCCCAAAUAAUAACGGAGGCUUACAAAGGUUGGCUCAGAACGGUUGGAAAUCGUUCGUAGAGUAUAAAGGUAUAAGCCAGCUUAACUGCAAGACAUACAAGUCAAGCAGAGACGAAAGUCGGUCUUAGUGAUCCGGUGGUUCUGUGUGGAAGGGCCAUCGCUCAAAGGAUAAAAGGUACCCCGGGGAUAACAGGCUGAUCUCCCCCAAGAGCUCACAUCGACGGGGAGGUUUGGCACCUCGAUGUCGGCUCAUCGCAUCCUGGGGCUGGAGCAGGUCCCAAGGGUAUGGCUGUUCGCCAUUUAAAGCGGUACGCGAGCUGGGUUCAGAACGUCGUGAGACAGUUCGGUCCCUAUCUGCCGUGGGCGUAAGAAGAUUGAAGAGAUUUGACCCUAGUACGAGAGGACCGGGUUGAACAAACCACUGGUGUAGCUGUUGUUCUGCCAAGAGCAUCGCAGCGUAGCUAAGUUUGGAAAGGAUAAACGCUGAAAGCAUCUAAGCGUGAAGCCAACUCUAAGAUGAAUCUUCUCUAAGCUCUCUAGAAGACUACUAGUUUGAUAGGCUGGGUGUGUAAUGGAUGAAAGUCCUUUAGCUGACCAGUACUAAUAGAGCGUUUGGCUUAUCUUU